GGUUAAGCGACUAAGCGUACACGGUGGAUGCCCUGGCAGUCAGAGGCGAUGAAGGGCGUGCUAAUCUGCGAUAAGCGCCGGUAAGGUGAUAUGAACCGUUAUAACCGGCGAUACCCGAAUGGGGAAACCCAGUGUGAUUCGUCACACUAUCAUUAACUGAAUCCAUAGGUUAAUGAGGCGAACCGGGGGAACUGAAACAUCUAAGUACCCCGAGGAAAAGAAAUCAACCGAGAUUCCCCCAGUAGCGGCGAGCGAACGGGGAGGAGCCCAGAGCCUGAAUCAGCAUGUGUGUUAGUGGAAGCGUCUGGAAAGGCGCGCGAUACAGGGUGACAGCCCCGUACACAAAAGCGCAUGUGCUGUGAGCUCGAUGAGUAGGGCGGGACACGUGGUAUCCUGUCUGAAUAUGGGGGGACCAUCCUCCAAGGCUAAAUACUCCUGACUGACCGAUAGUGAACCAGUACCGUGAGGGAAAGGCGAAAAGAACCCCGGCGAGGGGAGUGAAAAAGAACCUGAAACCGUGUACGUACAAGCAGUGGGAGCCCCACCACUAAGCCAGUGGUGAACUCCACAUACGCAUCCUUUGCUGAGGAUACGGUUAACGGAGCGCAAGCGACGUUCAACCUCAAAAGAAGCAGAGGGGGCUUAGUGGUGGGGUGACUGCGUACCUUUUGUAUAAUGGGUCAGCGACUUAUAUUCUGUAGCAAGGUUAACCG
rnacentral:rRNA from 1 species